rnacentral:rRNA from 1 species
AACGAACGCUGGCGGCAGGCUUAACACAUGCAAGUCGAACGCCCCGCAAGGGGAGUGGCAGACGGGUGAGUAACGCGUGGGAAUCUACCCAGUUCUACGGAACAACUGAGGGAAACUUCAGCUAAUACCGUAUACGCCCCAAGGGGGAAAGAUUUAUCGGAAUUGGAUGAGCCCGCGUUAGAUUAGCUAGUUGGUGGGGUAAUGGCCUACCAAGGCGACGAUCUAUAGCUGGUCUGAGAGGAUGAUCAGCCACACUGGGACUGAGACACGGCCCAGACUCCUACGGGAGGCAGCAGUGGGGAAUAUUGGACAAUGGGCGCAAGCCUGAUCCAGCCAUGCCGCGUGAGUGAUGAAGGCCUUAGGGUUGUAAAGCUCUUUCAGUAGGGACGAUAAUGACGGUACCUACAGAAGAAGCCCCGGCUAACUUCGUGCCAGCCGCCGCAGUAAAAC